rnacentral:misc_RNA from 1 species
AAAUGCGAUAAGUAAUGUGAAUUGCAGAAUUCAGUGAAUCAUCGAAUCUUUGAACGCACCUUGCGCUCCUUGGUAUUCCUUGGAGCAUGCCUGUUUGAGUAUCAUGAAAUCUUCAAAGUAAAUCUUUUGUUAACUCAAUUGGUUUCUACUUUGGUAUUGGAGGUCUUUGCAGCUUCACACCUGCUCCUCUUUGUUCAUUCACUGGAUCUCAGUGUUAUGCUUGGUUCCACUCGGCGUGAUAAGUUAUCUAUCGCUGAGGACACUGUAAAAGGUGGCCAAGGUAAAUGCAGAUGAACCGCUUCUAAUAGUCCAUUGACUUGGACAAUACUUUUAUGAUCUGAUCUCAAAUCAGGUAGGACUACCCGCUGAACUUAAGC